GGGGCAGUAGCUCAGCUGGGAGAGCACUUGACUGGCAGUCAAGAGGUCAGGGGUUCGAGCCCCCUCUGCUCCA
rnacentral:tRNA from 1 species